CAGCCCCGCGGGAAAACAGAGGGUGCGAGCGUUAAUCGGAUUUACUGGGCGUAAAGCGUGCGUAGGCGGCUUUUUAAGUCGGAUGUGAAAUCCCUGAGCUUAACUUAGGAAUUGCAUUCGAUACUGGGAAGCUAGAGUAUGGGAGAGGAUGGUAGAAUUCCAGGUGUAGCGGUGAAAUGCGUAGAGAUCUGGAGGAAUCCCGAUGGCGAAGGCAGCCAUCUGGCCUAAUACUGACGCUGAGGUACGAAAGCAUGGGGAGCAAACAGGAUUAGAUACCCCUGUAGUCCCUGUCUCUUAUACA
rnacentral:rRNA from 1 species